UUUUUUUUUUUUUUUUCUCCUCCCACCCAAGCCGAAAAGGGAACAACAAAAAGAGUGAUAAUGAUAAUAAAACGAAAAAGGAAGGAGGAGAGGCUGCUUGUGGGAGAAAAAAAAAGAGGA
rnacentral:ribozyme from 12 species